AGUGAACGCUGGCGGCGUGCUUAAUACAUGCAAGUCGAACGGAGUGGCGCACGGGUGAGUAAUGUAUAGCUAAUCUGCCCUACACUAGAGGACAACAGUUGGUAACGACUGCUAAUACCCUAUAGUGUAGGAUGAGGCUAUAUUGUGUCAGAUAGUUGGUGAGGUAAUGGCUCACCAAGGCUAUGACGCAUAACUGGUCUGAGAGUAUGAUCAGUCACACUGGAACGGAGACACGGUGCGGACUCCUACGGGAGGCAGCAAUAGGGAAUAUUGCUCAAUGGGGGAACCCCUGAGGCAGCAACGCCGCGUGGAGGAUGACACUUUUCGGAGCGUAAACUCCUUUUGUUAGGGAAGCGGUACCUAAAGAGUAAGCACCGGCUAACUCCGUGCCAGCAGCCGCGGUAAUAC
rnacentral:rRNA from 1 species